AACUUUGCGCAGUGGCAGUAUCAUAGCCAAUGAGGUUUAUCUGAGGCACGAUUAUUGCUAAUUGAAAAAAAAAUCACAGUUCUGUUAUCUAUAUGUUUAAAAUCUUUUAAAAUUCAUAAAUUAG
rnacentral:snRNA from 1 species